rnacentral:misc_RNA from 1 species
CAAUAAAGUGUUUUUACUAGCACUUUUUUAAAAAUCUAGUACCCACCUUGUGUGCAAUGUAUUGUAUGAUAGCAAAAAGUCUUUUGGCUUUUGGUUUUGAAUACAAUAAUACCAACUUUUUUAUCUAUAACGUUUGUCUGAAAUAUUUAUUGAAGAUAAAAAUUCAAAAAUA